rnacentral:rRNA from 1 species
CGCCUCUCGCAAACAAAUAUGAGAGGUCUUGCCUGCCCUGUGACCACAUGUUUAACGGCCGCGGUAUUUUGACCGUGCAAAGGUAGCGCAAUCACUUGUCUUUUAAAUAAAGACCCGUAUGAAUGGCUUAACGAGGGCUUAACUGUCUCCUUUCCCCGGUCAAUGAAAUUGAUCUCCCCGUGAAGAAGCGGGGAUACCGACAUAAGACGAGAAGACCCUAUGGAGCUUCAAAUUUUAGUUGAUAUUACAGCACACCCCUAAUUAAAGGGAGCAAAAGUAGUUAAUCUACUAACAUUUUCAGUUGGGGCGACCGCGGGGUAAAAAACAACCCCCGUGAAGAGUGGGGUUACAACCUCAGAACCAUGAACAUCAGUUCUAAGUAACAAAAAAUUUGACCAACAGAUCCGGUAUUACCGAUCAACGAACCAAGUUACCCUAGGGAUAACAGCGCAAUCCCUUUAAAGAGUUCCUAUCGACAAGGGGGUUUACGACCUCGAUGUUGGAUCAGGACAUCCUAAUGGUGCAGCCGCUAUUAAGGGUUCGUUUGUUCAACGAUUAAAGUCCU